UACAGCCACAUCAUGUUGAAACACCAAUUCCCAUAUGAUCACCGGAGUUAAGCAACAUCGGGCAUGGUCAGUACCUAGAUGGGUGAUUGCUUGAGAAUACCAAGUGCU